AGAGUUUGAUCAUGGCUCAGGACGAACGCUGGCGGCGUGCUUAACACAUGCAAGUCGAACGGAAAGGCCCUUCGGGGUACUCGAGUGGCGAACGGGUGAGUAACACGUGGGUGAUCUGCCCUGCACUCUGGGAUAAGCCUGGGAAACUGGGUCUAAUACCGGAUAGGACCGCAUGCUUCAUGGUGUGUGGUGCAAAGCUUUUGCGGUGUGGGAUGAGCCCGCGGCCUAUCAGCUUGUUGGUGGGGUAAAGGCCUACCAAGGCGACGAUCCGUAACUGGUCUGAGAGGAUGAUCAGUCACACUGGAACUGAGACACGGUCCAGACUCCUACGGGAGGCAGCAGUGGGGAAUAUUGGACAAUGGGCGAAAGCCUGAUCCAGCCAUGCCGCGUGUGUGAAGAAGGUCUUCGGAUUGUAAAGCACUUUAAGUUGGGAGGAAGGGCAGUAAGUUAAUACCUUGCUGUUUUGACGUUACCAACAGAAUAAGCACCGGCUAACUUCGUGCCAGCAGCCGCGGUAAUACGAAGGGUGCAAGCGUUAAUCGGAAUUACUGGGCGUAAAGCGCGCGUAGGUGGUUCAGCAAGUUGGAUGUGAAAUCCCCGGGCUCAACCUGGGAACUGCAUCCAAAACUACUGAGCUAGAGUACGGUAGAGGGUGGUGGAAUUUCCUGUGUAGCGGUGAAAUGCGUAGAUAUAGGAAGGAACACCAGUGGCGAAGGCGACCACCUGGACUGAUACUGACACUGAGGUGCGAAAGCGUGGGGAGCAAACAGGAUUAGAUACCCCGGUAGUCCAA
rnacentral:rRNA from 1 species